ACCCUUUAGCGCAGGUAAAUCAAGCGGGCGUCUUGUCCCCCACCUUUAAAAUAACCAACGGGACAAGGCAGGGAUGCCCCCUGUCUCCACUGCUAUACGUCCUCGCACUAAAACCCCUCCUGCACCGUAUAAGGCAGACUGACAUAAUCCAGGGAAUACACCUGGAUGACAAGCACAUUAAGAUCAGCGCAUUCGCGGAUGACGUAUUACUGUAUAUAGAGAAUCCUCUAGUCUCCCUUCCCACAUUACUCCAACUGCUUAAAGACUACGGACGGGUAUCAUACUACUCAGUAAA